GAUGAACGCUGACAGAAUGCUUAACACAUGCAAGUCUACUUGAACUUCGGUUUGGGUGGCGGACGGGUGAGUAACGCGUAAAGAACUUGCCUCACAGUUAGGGACAACAUUUGGAAACGAAUGCUAAUACCUGAUAUUAUGAUUUUAGGGCAUCCUAGGAUUAUGAAAGCUAUAUGUGCUGUGAGAGAGCUUUGCGUCCCAUUAGCUAGUUGGAGAGGUAACGGCUCACCAAGGCGAUGAUGGGUAGCCGGCCUGAGAGGGUGAACGGCCACAAGGGGACUGAGACACGGCCCUUACUCCUACGGGAGGCAGCAGUGGGGAAUAUUGGACAAUGGGCCAAAAGUCUGAUCCAGCAAUUCUGUGUGCACGAUGACGUUUUUCGGAAUGUAAAGUGCUUUCAGUUGGGAAGAAAAAAAUGACGGUACCAACAGAAGAAGUGACGGCUAAAUACGUG
rnacentral:rRNA from 1 species